ensembl:lncRNA
UUUUUUUUUUUUUUUUUUUUUUUUUUCCCGCUGUACAGCAAGGGGGUCAGGUUAUCCUUACAUGUAUACAUUGCAAUUACAGUUCAAAGAUACUUUUGAUAUCAGGUAAGAAGUAUAUUUUUUAAAUAACAUUAUAUUUUUAAGUAAUCAUAUUCUACAGAGAUAUUAAUAUCAAUAGAAAUGAAAAUGCAUCUGUAAUCCUGCCACCCUGAAUAACCAAAAGGUUUUCAUUUUUCUGUACUAUUCUCUUUGGCCUUGGGCCACGUGAUUUCUAGAUAGUUGUAACAAUGGCACAGAUACAGUUGCUUUUCUUCAUUUUAUUAUAUAAAAUAAGCAUUUCCUGUGGUACUAGAAUCUUCACAGUUAUUUUCAAUGAGUAUGCAUUGUUUCAUUGAGUAAAAAUACCAUGUGUUUAAUCAUUUUCAAAGGAUAAAAAUUAGGUUCUUGCUUAUCUUUUUUUGCCUAUAGAUAUCACUGGAGUGAAUAUGUCAGUACCUUGGUUUUGUUUGGUUGUUUUGAGAUUUUCUUAGGAUAAAAAUCUAGUAAAUAGAAUUACUAGAUCAAAAGAUAUUAAUAUUUUUAUUACCAAAUUGCUUUUCCAGAGAGCUGUAAUAAUUUAUGCUGCUUUUGUUAUUGGUUGUACCAGCUUCAGCCCAGCCUGCAAAUGUCAUGUCAUCUUUCUUUUUUUUUUUUUUUUUUGGAAAAAGAAUUUGGGGGGGGGGUGAAGGAAAAAAUAAUAGCUUUUAUUGCUUUGCCAGGCAAAAGAAGUCAUAGCAAGCUAAUGCCCUAAGAAUUGUGCCCUCUUUGGGAGAGGGUAGGAGGUGGUCUUAUAGUUUUAGAGUGGAUAAAGGGCCACAGAUAAGGAUCCAGGGUAGUUAUAAGCUUUCAUUCUUCUUCAUGGUUGGUGUUUAGUGGUCCUGGACUGGUCUGCUACAGUCUAAUACUUUUUUGAAAAUUUAAUAGCUAUAGCAGUUCCUGCUGUGGCUCUGUGGGUUAAGAAUCUGACUGUAGUGGCUCAGGUUGCCGUGACAGCAUGGGUUCAAUCCUUGGCCCAGGGUUUUCCAUAUGCUGUGGGUACAGGCAUUAAAAAAAAAAGAAAAGAAAAUCUAAUAGCUAUAUAGAUUUGUGCCAUUUUUGUCAGCAUGUAUUUGAUCAUAGUUGAAGGUGAUUUUUUUUUUUUAAAUAGUUCACAUGGUUAAAAUAAUACAGGUUUUGACCCUCAGAGCAGUCUUUUUAGAUCUGUAGCAUUGUGGUGGGUUUCUUUGCCUCUUGUCGACUGUCUUGAGAAUUCUGACUUAGUUGGUUUCUUAGGCUGCUUUCGGGGCUUCCAAGCCAGGGGACAAGCCAGCAGUAUCAGGACAUCAUCUUAUUCUCAAGGCCUAAUUGUACUGAGACAGCUGUCAGUCAUCGAGAAAAAUCUAAGCUCUGUUCAUCUGCAAAUAGGACGUAGAAUUUGAAAUACCAAGUCAAAUCCUUGAGUAAAUCUUUGUCCUUGAUUUACUUAGGAAGAUUCUACAUUUGCACAUACAUAGAGCAAACAUAAACAUAUCUGGGUAUAGGCAGUCAACCCAAUUCUAGAAAAUUUCUAGAUUCCCUUCUAAAAUGCCUCCCAAUCUGUGAAAGGCUUGCUGCUAUUUCACAGAAGGCUGCUGCCAGAAGUACAGACUGGGUUCUGCAGUGGGCAUUCCAUAUUCCACCUGUCUGUUUACUAUGAAUGUUUUGCUUGUUUAACUUCUCUGAGCUUCACUUACAAAAAGGAGCACUAAUACUUGCUAGAGCAUGAUAAGGAUUAAAUACAUUAAUAUUUAUGUGAAGCGCCUGGUGCACUGAGUAACUUGUGUUAGACGUGGGAGAUACGCAAUAGCUACAGUUAUUGUCUAAGUGUUAGGACUCUUUUUAAAACCUGGAUUCAGAUGUUCCUUGUUCAAUUGAUGGUACAGUAAAAGGGAAAGUGGGUUUUAGAACUGAAAGAAUUUAGGUUAUAAGAUAUCAACUCCAGUUUAUCUUAGAAGAGGGAGUUUUGACAAAUUACAUAAUUUAAUGUCCCCCUCCCAUCCGUAAGUUGAAGUAUAUGUAAAACUGCCCAGUGCCUGACACAUAGAAUAAAUGGUAGCUAACAUAACAUCAGUAGCACAUACCUUUAGAUAGUAGUUAAAGGCAAAUGCACUUUACUAAAUUUUAUUUAUUUAUUUAUGGUCUUUUCGAGGGCCACACCCCGUGGCAUAUGGAGGUUCCCAGGCUAGGGGUCUAAUCUGAGCUGUAGCUGCCAGCCUACACCACAGCUCACAGCAACACCAGAUCCUUAACCCACUGAGCGAGACCAGGGAUCGAACCUGCAACCUCAUGGUUCCUAGUCAGAUCUUUUCCGCUGCGCCAUGACAGGAACUUCCUAAGUUUGUUUCUAUUAACAGAGAAAAGCCAACAAAUUACCUGCUUUAAGAAAGACUUAUAGAAAAGGUCACAUUUCAGGAACCAUAUGACCUGAAUUAGUAGCAGGGAAUUUAUGCACCUAGAGAUAUUUCACAGAAGGCUUCAAGGUGAGAGCAGGGCGAUGGCACAGAGGGGACUGAGCAGGUUGGUUUGAGAGGGUGGAGAUGGGCAGAAAUUGGGUUGGGAAGAUGCCAGAGGACUUCAAGGAAUGUGGGGUGGCAGUGCUGCCAAAACAGCAGGUGAAGAAAAGCUGUUCUGGGUGAUUGGUCCUGGGAAAGGGAACUUCUGGAGAUGUUUUUCUAGUCCAAGAAAGAGGAAAAUAAAAGGUAAAGGGCAGAUACAGGAAGUAGAGAAGUUGCAAGACUAGGUAACCCCUUAACUACAAAGGAAGAAAUGAAUUUGGGGCUGUUCUAAAGCUUCUGGCUUAGGGUAUCCAAGAGAUGAUUGUGGUUCUCCUUGGGGAUAGGAGGUUGAAUCAGUUGAGGAAAGAACAUUUUUGUCAUUUUACUGCCUAAAGAUGUAUUUUGUCAUCUUUUUAGAAAUUAGUCCAAGUGACACUGCUUAGAGUCUUCAUAUGAAAAAGUGACUGUUCUGUCUUCCCGCUGCCACCGAAAGAGGCCUGGAGGUCUUGUUUUCUGUCCCAGUGUGAUCACUAAAACCAUUUUCAUAUGAUUAACAAGUCCUGCAGAGCCCGACCACCCCAUCCCUGGUUGUCAGAGUCCCAGCCAAUUUUGAACCCUGGGCAUACCUUACUCUCUUGCAGCUUGGCUGUGCACUUUAUCUGACAUUUCUGGGUGUUUUGUUAUGGGAGGGUUUUUAGACCCUCUGGUCUUCUGCAUGAAAUAGAAGUUUCUCACUCCCCAAGUAAUAAUAGUCUGCUCUGAAAUCCUAGGAAUGAGAGAAGAAUGAUAUUAGUCAGGUCCUGUUAGGAAACAGAUGUCAUGCUCAAACUGGGUAAUUUAAGGAGUGUUUAAGUGUUUCCUUCAGGCAAAGGGAAGCUCUCUAUUCCAGGUAUGAAGAGUUUGAUGGAGGAAUUAAGGGUUUACCCAGCUGUUGGAAGAACUGGGAUUGGGAAGGUCAGGGAAGCUGCUGCUGAUCAUCUCAGACGGAAGCCCUGCAGUGGGUGGUUCUCAUGCGUUGAUGGGAAAGCUGCUAUGAAUCCCUGUCUGAUGCAGCCACCUCUGGGAGUAUUAACCUUGCCUUUUCUUCUGCCUUUCAAAUCUCUCUUGUGCUUCUCUUGGCAAACUCUUAACCCAGUUUAUGCUGGAAAGGGGGUUCUGAAAAGUAGCUCACAUGCUGCUGAGUUGUCCACAGUGCAGAACUGGGACUGUUGACAAAGGGUGAACAGGGCUUGGGGACGCCAGUGGAGCUGGCAGUGGGGCUUGAAGUAGGGGGAGGUGUUACACCCCUGGGCCUGGAAGGCAAGAAGACGAAGCCAUCCUUCUGGAAGACAGGAAGAGGAGCCCUGAGAAGGUGGCUGUAUAGGUUGUCCAGCCUGGGUUUGGCCAUUGGCAGGUCAUCUCGGCCAGCCUCAACGACUGCAGGGUGUGAGCCAGAAGAAUAAAUUCCCCUUCACUCUCCUGCCUCUUCCCAGCCAACUGGACUAGAAGCCAGAGGGGCAGUGGAGCCUCUUAACAGUCCCUGUGGUGCCCUCUCUCAGGGUAGAGAGUGGGACAGAGUUGGGUGGAAGAGUAAGGUUGGAGGGCAGAGUAGUAUAGUUUACCAGCCCAGAGCUAUAACUCAAAGCAUAUGUGUUGAGGAUUAAAGCAUCUUUUUUAGGGCAAGGAAAGAGAAUAAGCAGAAAAUCAAGGGUUGAACCUGAAAUGAGAGAGGAAGCAGGUACUUGAAAAGACCUCUUGGAGUUCCCUGAUGGCUCAGCAGGUUAAAGGAUCUGGCAUUGUCAUUGCUGUAGCUCAGAUUGCUGCUGUGGUGUGGGUUCGAUCCCUGGCCCAGGAACUUCUCCAAGCCUUGGACGCAGCCCAGAAAAGGAAGAGCUCUCUCAAGGAAACUGUCUUGAAGACAGUUUGGGAAGCUUUGUGGGGAAGAGAAUGGAUUGGCGGCGGGGAGAGGUCUUGAGUAGGAGGAGGAAGGACAAAGAAGGCUUUGGUUGGUUUUCUACAAAACUGCAAGGUGGGGUUCCUGCAUGGCUCAGUGGUUAACGAAUCCAACUAGGAACCAUGAGGCCAGGGAUUGAACCCAGGGUUAGUUGGGUUUGUUAACCAUUGAGCCACAACAGGAACUCCUGGGAGACAUCUUUUAGAGUGUCAGAUUUUCUUUACUGCAUCUGUACUCAUUCAAACAAGGAAAUUCAGGCAUUUGUCAUUAUUAAUCACAAUGCUGUAAAACUGAUUUCCCCAAUGCUUUGCUUUUUUUCAGUGAUGGAAUACUAUUGGAAUGACCUAUUUAGUAGCUUAUUUUAUGCACUGAUGCUAAAAUUAAAAUAUGCAGUGGGUUAAGAAUCCAGCAUUGUCACUGCAGCAGCUUGGGUUGCCACUGCGGUGUGAGUUCAGUCCCUGGCCUGGAAUUUCCACAUGCUGUGGGCACGGCCAAAAAAAAAGAAUCUAGGUUUCAUUUUCAUUUUCAUUUGCUGGUAUACUUGGUUUUCCUAGUUGCUUUACUUGAAACUCCUAAAAAAGAUGGACUUGCACCCACUUUCUGGUGCUCAGAAACUUGAUGUGUAAUAAGAGUGUUUAACCUGACUAGCACCCUGUAGGAGGAAUCUGGUUGUGAAUUUUUUCUCCCAUCUGGUCCGUAAACCAAAACUGAUGCAACAGGGAGGGGGGCAUCAUCAUACAGGACAGGAAAUCUCCAGAGAGGGGCCGAGGACACACAUCCAAGGGAAUGGUACCCAGGUCUCUUUCCCCCUCUGGAGAUGGGAUUCUCUGUGGAACCAGGCAGCCUGAGGCCAGAAGUGCUGGUGUUAACGUGUUCUUUAGUUCUCAGCAGCUCCUGUUUUAGGAAAAAUUUGGGCAAGUGGCAACAUUUUUUUAUACACUGAGAUUUUUUGAGAGCCUGAUUUUGUUUACAGAAGGAUCAGUUAAACAACAUGCAAGGUAUUUAUUUAUGGAGAUAGUAUCUCUCAAGGAACUUUUCAUUAAACUGCCACAUACACUCUUUUUGUUCAGUUUAACCCAUCACGUAGAGAAAGAAGGCCAUUAGCACUGAGAUCUAGGAUAGAAACACAUAGCAAACAGGGAGGGUACCUGUGUGGACAGAAUUUGACAGUCUUAGGAAUUCCCAUUGUAGCACAGUGGAAACGAAUCCAGCCAGUAUCUGUGAGGAUGCAGGUUUGACCUCUGGCCUCCCUCAGUGGGACGGGGAUCUGCCGUUGCCAUAAGCUGUGGUAUAGGUCGCAGAUGCAGCUCGGAUCCUGUGUUGCUGGGCUGUGGUAUAGGUUGCAGACAUGGCUUGGAUCCUGUGUUGCUGUGGUUGUGGUGUAGGCUGGCACCUAUAGCUCCCGUUUAACCCCUAGCCUGGGAACUUCCAUAUGCCGCAGGUAUGGCCUUAAAAAAAAAGCGCACACAUAUACACAAAAGAAUUUGACAGUCUUACUCACUAAAUCUUACUUACUAACUCACCCUACGUGGCUUAGUGAGGGAGGGUCCCCUAAAAGUAUUGAUGGCGGGGGGGCCCCCCCACUUUCAAGAUUGACCUCUGACAGGACAAGUGGCAGUUGUCACUGACUGCUCUUAGAUCAUCUGGGCAGUGCAGCCUGAAGGGGUAGGUGGCCAGACCAGGCCCUCAGCCCCGCAGAGCCUGUGGACUGUGUGCUUCAGGUUCCUCAUCUGGAAGAUGAGGAUUCUCAAGUUGUGGGGAUGAGACGAGUGGGUGCAUGUAAAGUUGCUGGUACAGCAUCAAGCACUGCAGUCAUCACUCCAGAUUCACUGGAACACAGAGAGUAGCCCUCUGUUGCAGAGGCAUUUGAGGAGGAUGAGAAGCAGUUUCCUUUAGAUUCUGAGAUUAUUUGUCCUUGAAUGUUUAAAAGUGACUUUGGGUCAUGUGAUUAUGUAAUCAAACUUAGAAUCAAAGGAGUAGGCUCUUGCCUAGCUAUUUUAGACUUAAGAUGUUUCAGGAAGAAGUGGGUCAGGCAUUCAGAGUUUGGAGUUUCUGACCAUCUUCAGCUAUGAUCCGUGUUUACUUUCUGAAUUCUCCUCGCAGCUUUCGUGUGGACUUGAGUUUUUUACUCCUGGACCUGGAGCAUUUUACAGGCAGGGUCUUAAGGAUCAUCAGGCUCUGCUUUCAGAUUCUGUUUUCUCUUUCCUACACUUCUCUCAUCUCAUCUCUGAGUAUGGAAGUUCUAACCUGGUUCUCUAAGGCUUCCUUCUUGUGUAUUUACUGGUUUACAGAAUGCUAUGUGCUCCUUACUGCUAAGGACAGGAAGAUUCCAGCAAGGCACAAAGCCUCUGCCCUUUAGGAAGUUUACAUUCUAGUGGAGGCUGGGGACAGACAGUACAUCAGUAACAUAUCUGAGCCUGUUGGGAAUAGAUACCAGGGAGGAGAUAAAGCAGGGGAGUCGGGAAAGCCCGGGUGCGGUGUGGAGUUGGCUGUUUUUCAGUAGGACGGCCAGGGCAGGCCUUACCAACCAGGUGGCCUUUGCCCAGAGACCGGAAGGAAGUAAAGGGGCGAGGCAGGAGGCUGCGGAGGACCAUGGCUGACACAAGCCAAGUUCCUGGGUAGAAGUAAGGAGACAGUGGGACGAGAGCGGAGAGUGGCAAAGGAGAAGGUCAGAGAGGUUGUGAGACCAGACCAGCUCCACCUGGGAUGAGAUGGGGAGCCAUCGCAGGGCUUAGAGAUUAGGUAUCCAGCUCACCUCUUAAAAGGAUCGCUGACUUUCCUCCCGGCAACUCCUUUUUCAGCUCCCUCUGAGAGGAAAUCAAGAAACUAGCUUCAUAAGCCAUUGCAGGAAAACUUUGUCCUAACUUAUACCCUAACCCACAUGUGUUUCGUAACUUCUUUUUUGAGUAUUGAUUUUAAAGUCAUUUGGAACAGUUUGGCCUUGUCUUCCUCAUCUCUGACUCUGAGGAGACAGGCCAGGCGAGAGGCAAAAUACAGGCAGCUCUUGAUUAGUUGUUCAAGAGGAACAUUGCAUUACAUGCUCAUUACAUUAGCAAAGGUGAUGCAACGUGUUGAUCCAGUCAGAUAGUUUGGGAAGAGUCUAGGUCCUAGGCUUGGUGAGUUCUUACUUUCCUCUGUAUCUCUUGCUGUCCUCCUAUGUGACUGUUUCAGUUCCCUCUUUCAUAGUAGUAGCGAGUAAUAACUUUGUGCAAGUCAGAAGCUACAUAGGGGUUAGAGGUGCUAAUAAAACUUCUCGUAAGCCUCCGGAAAGAAUCUGGAGGAAUAAUCACUGCUCUUUUGGCUUAUGCUGCCUAGCCCUUUGUACUCGGGAAAUGAGGAGGGGUGGUUGAGGUGGGGAGCCUUGGACAUAAUUAUGUGUCAAGAAGAGGUUGACCCCUAAGAUUGCCUGGCUGCCUGUAGCAGUAAGGAGUCCAUGCAGUGCUAAGAGUUGAGUGUCCUCGGGUCACCCAUCAUCACAGGUAGUUGGCAAUUACCGCAAAUCUGCAGCAACUUGCAUGUGGAUAUAAGGAACUGACUUCUGUUUUCAAAAGUGGAGAAGCCAGUGAAGUGACUGCCUCAUUAUUAUGUGAGGCUCUCAGUUCCUUGAUCAGUCUAAUAAUACAUGAAAGCAACUAAAUGAAAGUAUUUUUUUCUCACCCUUUCACCAUCCACAACUGGAAGACUUGACACUAAUAAUAAGACAGUCCCAUAUUUUAACCCAGUUGAAUUGGGGGAGGGUGCUCAUUUAUCUAAUAGGGAGGUUUUUACUGUAUUGAAUUUCUAUUUAUUUGGAGUAUUUUCUUUUCAUACUACUGUAAACUGCUGCCUCACUCUUUAAGCCAUUCCUCUGCUUAUUUGCAUCUUCAGAAAUGGAUAGGAUAAGAAAUAAAGAAGAUGAGCCCUGGGAACUAUAUUUAGUCACUUGCGAUGGAGCGUGAUGGAGGAUAAUGUGAAGAAUGUGUGUAUAUAUAUCUGUAUGACUGGGUCACUUUGCUGUACAGUAGAAAACUAUAAUGGAAAAAA